rnacentral:rRNA from 1 species
AGCGAACGCUGGCGGCAGGCUUAACACAUGCAAGUCGAACGGGCACUUCGGUGCUAGUGGCCGACGGGUGAGUAACACGUGGGAACGUACCUUUCGGUUCGGAAUAAUCCAGGGAAACUUGGACUAAUACCGGAUACGCCCUUCGGGGGAAAGAUUCAUCGCCGAUAGAUCGGCCCGCGUCUGAUUAGCUAGUUGGUGAGGUAAUGGCUCACCAAGGCGACGAUCAGUAGCUGGUCUGAGAGGAUGAUCAGCCACAUUGGGACUGAGACACGGCCCAAACUCCUACGGGAGGAAGCAGUGGGGAAUAUUGGACAAUGGGCGCAAGCCUGAUCCAGCCAUGCCGCGUGAGUGAUGAAGGCCUUAGGGUUGUAAAGCUCUUUUGUCCGGGAAGAUAAUGACUGUACCGGAAGAAUAAGCCCCGGCUAACUUCGUG